UGUUCAGGUCCGGAAUCUGAACCUAGCCUUCCAGGCUGCGGAGAGCAUCGGCAUCAAAUCCUCCCUGGACAUGGAGGAGCUGAUGAAGACGGACCGGCCGGACUGGCAGAGCGUGAUGCAGUACGUCUCUCAGAUCUACAAGUACUUUGAGACCUGACGAGGGACCACGCUGUGGACCAGAAGCACCGCAGCUCUCUUCAGCUCCAUCCAUCUGCACUAAAUCUUCUUUCCACGCUGACUGAAAGCUGCCUUGUUGACCUUAUCUAACGCUCAAGGAAAGACGGAGGAGUCUAACGAAACGUUAGAAGUCAGAGUGAAAACCAGUCGCAGAGCGUCUUAUCCACAAACUACAGUAAACAGYAAAAUGAACACAUACUUAAUUGGUCCAAUUUUUUUGACAAAACCUUUUUUUUCUCACCUGCUGUUAACACUUUUCUAAAACUUCUACAAAAAAAUAUUUGAACAUUUAAAAAAAAGUGCCAAAGUCUUUUGCCAAAAUGCAGCUCGGACCAUCUACGCAUGAUAAAGAUGUGRCGUUUCCUCUCAGUCAGCAAGAGCAAAACCGUGUGAAGAGAGUUCAGUAAAUGUCCAGAACUUGCUGAAUGAGUUGGAGUCGUGUUUGAGAGAAGAAGAUGUUUACAGUGAAAGUCCAGCUGAAGCCUCAACAUCUGGAUCGUCUUUGAGGGAGGAAGCUGUCACCGUCUGUCGAGUCGAGCCACUUAAACCUGAGGGUGUAAAAGUGAGUAACAGUUUCCCAGGAAUACUCUUGUGGAACCGGGCUGAUCUUUACGCUCACGCUGGGCUGUUUCUCCACAUCCCAUCGACUCUCUGAAGCUGCAGAGCGUUUGUGUUCGACCAGCUGAGUCAUGGAGGAGGAGGAGGUUUCUGUGUGCUGACGUUUGGACACGCUCCAGUUUGCAGACACCUGAUUAUKCUGGGGAAUAAAAAAAGUUGUAUUUAUUUAUUUACUGAGCGUUGAGAGUGUGGACAGAAAUCUGUUGACGGACGUCAGAAAUGUUAAGUUUUACUUAAUAAAGAAUGUGGAGAUUUACUUUAAA